rnacentral:rRNA from 1 species
GACGAACGCUGGCGGCGUGCUUAACACAUGCAAGUCGAACGGAAAGGCUCCAGCUUGCUGGAGUACUCGAGUGGCGAACGGGUGAGUAACACGUGGGUAAUCUGCCCUGCACUCUGGGAUAAGCCUGGGAAACUGGGUCUAAUACUGGAUAUGACCUUUCUCCUUAUGGGGUUUGGUGGAAAGUUUUUCGGUGUAGGAUGAGCCCGCGGCCUAUCAGCUUGUUGGUGGGGUAGUGGCCUACCAAGGCGACGACGGGUAGCCGGCCUGGGAGGGUGACCGGCCACAUUGGGACUGAGAUACGGCCCAGACUCCUACGGGAGGCAGCAGUGGGGAAUAUUGCACAAUGGGCGGAAGCCUGAUGCAGCGACGCCGCGUGAGGGAUGACGGCCUUCGGGUUGUAAACCUCUUUCAGCAGGGACGAAGCGUAAGUGACGGUACCUGCAGAAGAAGCACCGGCUAACUACGUG